rnacentral:rRNA from 1 species
UACGUAGGGCGCGAGCGUUGCCCGGAUUUAUUGGGCGUAAAGGGCGCGUAGGCGGCUCGGCACGUCCGUUGUGAAAUCGCCCGGCUCAACUGGGCGGGGUCAGCGGAUACGGCCGAGCUUGAGCAAGCUAGGGGGCAAUGGAAUUCCCGGUGUAGUGGUGGAAUGCGUAGAUAUCGGGAGGAACACCAGUGGCGAAGGCAGCUCGCUGGGACGUUACUGACGCUGAGACGCGAAAGCGUGGGGAGCAAACAGG